rnacentral:lncRNA from 1 species
UAUAUCUAAUUGGUAUAUGUGUAUACUUAAUUAAUUAAUUAAUUAGUUUAAUAGUUGAUGCAUUUAUUCUUUUACAAGAGAUCAUAAGUUCGAGUGAGAUUAUACUUUUAUGUGUGUUACCAUUUGAAAGAUACGUUGAAUUGUAAUUUUUUUAAAAAAUAAUUAGCUAAUUUUAAUUGUAGCGUUGGUGCUUGUCGAUUGGCACUGAAAUAUGAGGAAUUCAUCAAAGCAUCUGAU